rnacentral:rRNA from 1 species
GAAUUGGACGGGACCCGCACAAGCGGUGGAUGAUGUGGAUUAAUUCGAUGCAACGCGAAAACCUUACCUACCCUUGACAUGUCUGGAAUCCCGAAGAGAUUUGGGAGUGCUCGCAAGAGAACCGGAACACAGGUGCUGCAUGGCUGUCGUCAGCUCGUGUCGUGAGAUGUUGGGUUAAGUCCCGCAACGAGCGCAACCCUUGUCAUUAGUUGCUACGAAAGGGCACUCUAAUGAGACUGCCGGUGACAAACCGGAGGAAGGUGGGGAUGACGUCAAGUCCUCAUGGCCCUUAUGGGUAGGGCUUCACACGUCAUACAAUGGUCGGGACAGAGGGUCGCCAACCCGCGAGGGGGAGCCAAUCCCAGAAACCCGAUCGUAGUCCGGAUUGUAGUCUGCAACUCGACUACAUGAAGUCGGAAUCGCUAGUAAUCGCGGAUCAGCAUGUCGCGGUGAAUACGUUCCCGGGCCUU